rnacentral:rRNA from 1 species
GGACGAACGCUGGCGGCGUGCCUAAUACAUGCAAGUAGAACGCUGAAGCUUGGUGCUUGCACCGAGCGGAUGAGUUGCGAACGGGUGAGUAACGCGUAGGUAACCUGCCUGGUAGCGGGGGAUAACUAUUGGAAACGAUAGCUAAUACCGCAUAAUAGUAGAUGUUGCAUGACAUUUGCUUAAAAGGUGCAAUUGCAUCACUACCAGAUGGACCUGCGUUGUAUUAGCUAGUUGGUGAGGUAACGGCUCACCAAGGCAACGAUACAUAGCCGACCUGAGAGGGUGAUCGGCCACACUGGGACUGAGACACGGCCCAGACUCCUACGGGAGGCAGCAGUAGGGAAUCUUCGGCAAUGGACGGAAGUCUGACCGAGCAACGCCGCGUGAGUGAAGAAGGUUUUCGGAUCGUAAAGCUCUGUUGUAAGAGAAGAACGAGUGUGAGAGUGGAAAGUUCACACUGUGACGGUAUCUUACCAGAAAGAGACGGCUAACUACGUG